AGUUGGUCAGACAAUCGCUGGUUUAUUGAAGCCCUUAGUGCCGUAAGGCAAGCCUGAAAUAGGUGAUAAGUGGGACAAGUAAACGAGAGGAAAGUCCGGGCUACAAAGGGCAGAGUGCCAGUUAACGGCUGGGCAGCGCGAGCUGACGACAAGUGCAACAGAGAGCAGACCGCCUUUUUUCGGAAAGGUAAGGGUGAAAGGGUGCGGUAAGAGCGCACCGCGUGGCUGGUAACAGUUCACGGCAAGGUAAACUCCACUCGUAGCAAGACCAAAUAGGAACUCAAUGGGUGUGCCCGCUCAGAGUUCGGGUAGGUUGCUUGAGCGUUAUAGUGAUGUAACGCCUAGAGGAAUGAUUGUCCAACGACAGAACCCGGCUUAUCGACCAACUCA
rnacentral:RNase_P_RNA from 1 species